UCAAUUCAUGACGAUAGCCAAAACUCCCGAUAUUUUUCACCCUCUCAAGUCUCUACAACCACGGUGGUUCCGCCGCCACGUGUACAACCGCCGGUAAGCUUCUGUAAUCCAACAAACAGAACAAAACGAACUACCGGAUGAGUAGAAGCUUCUAGGUUUCGCGUCUUAUCUCCCCUCUUUAUUGUCACAUUAUUCGAUUUCUAGGGUUUCAUAAUUCACCCAAAUUUCGUAAAAUUACAGGCAUUCACUUCAAUUACACAUUCAUUUUAUAUCCUAUUGUUUGAUUGAUAUAUGUAUUAGUGCAUUACUGUUAUAAUUAGAUCUGUGCCUGUUAACCUAGAUAAAAUCUGUAGGUUAGGGUUUUAGAGUGGUGAAUUUGUGUUCUGUUUUAUACAUGAACAAGUAUAUGGCACCAGGUAAACAUGGGGGAUACCGCGAUAACGAAUCCGAUGAUUACGAUGUCAAUUUCUCUAAGCGCGAGUUUUAUUAUAAAGAAGGCGAGAAUGAGGAUAACCGGUUAAGGAAUGGUAGUAACGAGGGUUAUGUUAGGGGUAGGAAUAGGGAAGUUGUGAAUGGAGGUGGCUAUGGUUCGGCGUCUAGGAAGAGUUUCACGGGUGGAAGUGGUGAUGGUGGGGUUUUGAGGCGUGGUGAUCACUGUACUAGGGUUGGGGAUAGAGAACCGGGUGAGGUGUCUAGUGAGAGCGGGUCUGAUGAAGCUGUUGGUUUGGAAAUGGAUGGUAAGAAUAAUGAGGGUUUAAAGAUGGAAAACGGUUGUAAAUCUACUAACAAUAGUAAAAAGAGGAAGUUUUCGCCUAUUGUUUGGGACAGGGAUGAUAAGGAAGGUAGUAAUUCAUCAGUGCGUAGGUCUUUGCCGGCUAAUAUUGCUCCUGCAGCUGUUGUGAGUAAUACACGUGUAGAUAGUAACAUGAUUCAGAGUGUAAACCGGUCUUCAGGUAAUACUUCGAUUGAUAUUCAGAAGCAUAAUUCUUCGGGAUUUGAACCGCAUGUUGGUCCAUCUACUUUCCCUAUUCAGGCAGAACAUGUAGGAUUAUCGUCUUCUGUGCAGGAAGCGCAUGUUGGGUACGUUCAGGAUGUAGGACCAUCAGAAGAAGAUUACAUGCCCACACGGACAAUAAGAUCCUCGCGGUGGGCUGAUGAUGCCGAUUCUCCAUCCGAUGAAGGUGAACUUUUCGAUCAUAACCGUAUCCCGCAGAGGAAAGAAUCUUUACACUGGUCUGUUGAAAAUAGAUCAAGGAAACCGUCUUCAAGUCCAGAGGAUGGUAAGCAUUAUAGAGGAAGCUCUGAACGAACCAGAGGCCAAUCAUCUGCACGAUCAUCUGAGUCUGAGGAAGCAGGUAUGAAUGAUUUUACUGUAAAUAAUUUGAAAUCGGAGGACUACAUGGAGAUAGACGAUGAACCGAAAAAGGAUGGUACUGAUUCAGAGAACGGAGAUGGAUCUCCGGGUACACCGGAGCCUGUGGUUCCUUCUCAAAGAAGUGUGAAUAUGCUGCAAGGUUGUAGAAGUGUUGAUGAGUUCGAAAGAUUGAACAAGAUAGAUGAAGGGACUUACGGGGUUGUUUUCAGGGCCAAAGAUAAAAAGACAGGAGAAAUCGUUGCGUUAAAAAAGGUCAAGAUGGAGAAAGAACGUGAAGGGUUUCCGUUGACUUCUUUACGGGAAAUAAACAUUCUUCUUUCUUUUAAUCACCCGUCAAUUGUUGAUGUGAAGGAAGUGGUAGUUGGGAGAAAUCUCGAUAGUAUUUUUAUGGUAAUGGAAUACAUGGAACAUGACCUUAAGGCGCUUAUGGAGACAAUGAAACAGCCUUUUAGCCAGAGUGAAGUUAAAUGUCUCAUGCUUCAGCUAUUUGAGGGAACAAAAUAUCUUCAUGACAAUUGGGUUCUUCAUCGGGAUUUAAAAACUUCAAAUUUACUUUUGAAUAAUCGGGGUGAGUUGAAGAUUUGUGACUUUGGUCUUUCUCGUCAAUAUGGGAGUCCUUUAAAACCAUACACUCAUUUGGUGGUGACUCUUUGGUACAGGGCACCAGAACUUCUUCUGGGAACAAAACUAUAUUCUACUGCAAUUGACAUGUGGUCAUUGGGUUGUAUCAUGGCUGAACUGUUGUCUAAACAACCGUUAUUCAAUGGGAAAACAGAGUUUGACCAGCUUGACAAGAUAUUCAAAACACUUGGCACACCAAACGAGACUAUUUGGCCUGGGUAUUCUAAGCUUCCUGGAGUCAAGGUGAAUCAUGUCAAGCAUCCGCUUCCAGCUUUGGGUGAAUUUCUGGUAUAAUUUACUGAGGAGAAAAUUCCCGGCAACGUCUUUUACUGGUUCACCUGUUUUGUCUGAUGCUGGGUUUGAUCUACUAAACAAACUUCUAACUUAUGACCCUGAGAAGCGAAUAACAGCUGAAGAAGCUCUCAACCAUGAGUGGUUUCGUGAAGUUCCUCUACCGAAGUCUAAAGAUUUUAUGCCCACUUUUCCAGCUCAGCAUGCUCAGGACAGGCGAACACGGAGGGUAAUGAAGAGCCCGGACCCAUUAGAAGAGCAACGUAGGAAGGAGCUGCAACAAGCUAAAUUUGGGACAGGUGGCCUAUUUGGAUAGGCUAAAGGGUGCACCGAAAUUGGGGCAUGUGGCUUAUAUUAGAUUUCCAUCUUUUUGUACUCACGAACUGACAUUUUUGAGGUGAGAGUUCAUGUGCUGAGGUGGAAUUGGCAACAUUCGUUUGAGUGAAUAUUAUCAAUGUUUUUUAGCAGGUAUCCUUCCAUCAUUUUGGGAGUUGACCAGGUUGACUUCUUUGUGCAAGGUGUUACUUUCUUGCAGAAGGUUUUUUUGGAACUUGUGUAACAUAUUUUAGUUGGUUACUGUAAAAACAAUACAUGGAAUCUGAUCUAAUACCAUAUGAAUUUGGGAUUUUUCUUG